rnacentral:sRNA from 1 species
UUCUAGCCCUGAUAGUCCCGAAGUUUCGGGAAAAAUCCGUUUCUGUUUUUCCUUUAAGACAGAAAAGAUUGCGACGUAUAGCAAGAAACGAG